rnacentral:rRNA from 1 species
UGCCAGCCGCCGCGGUAAUACGGAGGGGGUUAGCGUUGUUCGGAAUUACUGGGCGUAAAGCGCACGUAGGCGGAUUAAAAAGUUGGGGGUGAAAUCCCGGGGCUCAACCCCGGAACUGCCUCCAAAACUAGUAGUCUAGAGUUCGAGAGAGGUGAGUGGAAUUCCAAGUGUAGAGGUGAAAUUCGUAGAUAUUUGGAGGAACACCAGUGGCGAAGGCGGCUCACUGGCUCGAUACUGACGCUGAGGUGCGAAAGCGUGGGGAGCGAACAGGAUUAGAUA